GCCCCCACCUGGCUUGAGGAUCUGCGGAUUCGCUGCGACACCGAGGCGCGGCGCCUCACCAAUUUUUUUUUUGUUUGUUUUUUAGGUGGCUUUUUUGGGGACUGAGCCCCUCACUCUGGCGCCCAGGCUACAUUGCAGUGGCGCGGUCUUGGCUCAGUGAAGCCUCGACCUGCCGGACUAAAGCAGUUCUCCCGCCUCAGCCUCCCCAAGUAGCCGGGACUACAGGUGCACGCCACCACACCCGGCUAAUUAUUAUGGUCUUUAAAUUUAAAAAAAAAAUUUUUUUUAGACGGAGUCUCGCUCUAUCCCCCAGGCUGGAGUGCAUUGGCGCAGUCUCAGCUGCAACCUCCGCCUCCUGGUUCAAACGAGUCUCCUGCCUCAGCCUCCUGAGCAGAUGGGAUUACGGGCGCCCGCCACCAUGCCCGGCUAAUUUUUGUGUUUUUAGUAGAGACGGGGUUUCGCCAUGUUGGCCAGGCUGGUCUCGAACUCAUGACCUCAUGAUGCACCCGCCUCGGCGUGCCAAAGUGCUGGGAUUACAGGCGUGAGCCACCGCGCCCGGCCUAAUUAUUAUAUUUUGUGUAGAGAUGGAGUCUCACCAUGUUGCCCAGGCUGGUCUCGAACUCCUGGGCUCAAGCGAUCCGCCGGCCUCAGUCUUCCAAAGUGCUGGGAUUCCAGGCAUGACCCACCGCGCCCGCCCCCCGACGCCACCGAUGUGGAGUGUGAGAUUGUCCUCUCGUUGCUGUUUACCCAUUGCAACUCAGGUAUGAGGAUCCUGUGUGGAUGGGUCAAGGUGCACAGAUUUCCAUUCAGUUAUCUUAUAAGAAAGAUAAAACGAUAUCACAAUUCAAAAGUAAAGUUUGGUGAUAAUAUACUUAGCAUUUGUGUUAAAGUUCCUAAGAACAAUUGUAAAUGACAGAUGGGUGCGAAUCUGGUAGCUCAGAACAAAAAGGAUAAAAUGGUCAAUCUAUUCAAAAUUGGAAUAUAGAAACUUUUUUUU
rnacentral:lncRNA from 1 species